rnacentral:rRNA from 1 species
CCCUUAGAUGUUCUGGGCCGCACGCGCGCUACACUGAUGCGUUCAACAAGUUUCCUUGGCCGAGAGGCCUGGGCAAUCUUCUUAAUAUGUAUCGUGAUAGGGAUAGAUUAUUGCAAUUAUUAAUCUUGAACGAGGAAUUCCUAGUAAACGCAGAUCAUCAAUCUGCAUUGAUUACGUCCCUGCCCUUUGUGCACACCGCCCGUCGCACCUACCGAUUGGAUGUUCCGGUGAAGCCUCGGGAUGAGGACUGGUGCCUUUAUUGGCAUGAGUUGUUCAGAACUUGUCUAAACCUUAUCAUCUAGAGGAAGGUGAAGUCGUAACA